GCAAGCCUGAAGCCAAUCCAGAGCACAGGGCCAGACAUGCUGUAGAGCCCACUGCUCACUAGUGUGCCAGCAGAACUAUUUGGAAAAGUUGUCUACAGUCGAUCUUCAGGCUGUCCACAGGGCAGACAUAUGGGCAGAAGUAUCUUCCCACCUACUUUCCAAUACUGCUAAGGCUUUAACAAUGGGGGAACAGUACUAGGAGUGAGAUGGAGAGGAAGAAUUUAGUAAAGAACUGAAGAGCAAUGAAAUAUCAUAAAGUGAAUGUUAAGAUGGUGAUGUAUUGUAAACACCUCACAAGGAGGACACAGGGGACUUGAACAACGAACAGCCGUGUCCAACUCCCAGGCCCUCACAUUGCAAAGGAUUUUGAACCAUCUGAACAUCUGUGAGUACGUCUCUGUCUACCUAGAACUGGGUAGACGGCUGAGGAGGCUCCUAGAUCACACCAGUGAGACUUUCCUCACAUGAAUUCCUGAGGGGCCAGUCAGGGAUAAUGCUGACCCACUGCUCACAUACCUGGGGACAGCCAUGGUGACAGCAGUCAUGGACAAGAGCUUCCAACUGAGUUGAAAUCAAGGGAGAGGUGGAGGCUGGUCAGCAGCACUGGGGCUUUGGUCUUUGGUAGAGAAGGCUUCAGCCUGUGUAGGGAAUUCUUAAGACAAAUUCACUUAAAAGGCACCAUGAGUAGGAAGAUACCAAGCCGAGAUGGUGUGGUUAUUUAAGAAUAAACAUUUCUGUUAUGCAGAAAAACUGUGAAUUUUACC